AGAGUUUGAUCCUGGCUCAGGAUGAACGCUAGCGGCAGGCUUAACACAUGCAAGUCGAGGGGCAGCGGGGUGUAGCAAUACACUGCCGGCGACCGGUGCACGGGUGCGUAACGCGUAUGCAACCUACCCAUAACAGGGGCAUAACACUGAGAAAUUGGUACUAAUUCCCAUAACAUUCGAAGAGGCAUCUCUUUGGUUGAAACUCCGGUGGUUAUGGAGUGGGCAUGCGUUGUAUUAG
rnacentral:rRNA from 1 species